rnacentral:rRNA from 1 species
UACGGAGGGGGCUAGCGUUGUUCGGAAUUACUGGGCGUAAAGCGCACGUAGGCGGACUGGAAAGUCAGAGGUGAAAUCCCAGGGCUCAACCUUGGAACUGCCUUUGAAACUCCCGGUCUUGAGGUCGAGAGAGGUGAGUGGAAUUCCGAGUGUAGAGGUGAAAUUCGUAGAUAUUCGGAGGAACACCAGUGGCGAAGGCGGCUCACUGGUCCGGUACUGACGCUGAGGUGCGAAAGCGUGGGGAGCAAACAGG